rnacentral:misc_RNA from 1 species
GAAAAAAGAAGAUUCCAUGCAUUCCUUCUAAUGAGAAGAAUUCUUUUUUGGUCUCUAUAGAUUGAGUCCUUAACUAACAACCAAUGUCCUAUUAAUACCAAUACCAAAGACAAAGUACACAAACAUAUACAACCAUUGCAAAUUAGCUUUAAAAAGGAUAAAUUCUUCUAAAGUAUUAGCCAUUGGCACUUCCCUAAACCAAUAUUUCUGCCAACUGUAUUGCAGAGAAUGUCUUUGUUAAUGGAAUCCAUUUAGCUACUAACUCCAAAGAAACUUGUCGCAUGGUUGGCCGAGAUUGUGGAUUGAUAUUCAAGCAUGCAAAUGCAAGUUUUGCAAUGUAAAUUACUUCCUUAGCAACUUUGUUUUCAGGAGGUGGAAGGCGUUGGUCGAUUACAUCCUUCACUAGUGUAUGUUGAUCAAUCGAUAAGAAUGAUGAUGAGGAGGAGAAUGAAGAUGAAGAUGAUGGUAAUGGUGAUGUUGAAAGAAAUGGGAUAAGAUCACUUGGAUGUCUUCCCAUUAGAAUUUCUAACGUUACCAUUCCAAAGCUAUAGAUAUCACACUUUUCAUUCACUUUCAUCGUGUAAGCUAACUCUGGAGCAGUGUAGCCAAAUGUUCCUGCAAAAGGAGAAAAGUUGGAGGAGUUAGGCAUUAAGAGCCUAGCUGUGCCAAAAUCUGAGAUAUGAGCUUCAGAAUCUGAAUCCAAAAGAACAUUGUUGCUAGAAAUGUCUCCAUGAAUAAUUGGAGGAAAGCAAUGGUUGUGCAAAAAGGACAAUGCAUUAGCCAUUCCUUUAAUGACAUUUAGUCUCUUGACCCAAUCCAAUUCCCUUGCUUGUUCUUCAUUACUUAAAAUCAUUCUGAGACUUCCUCUUUCCAUGAAUUCAUAAACCAGAAAUGAAAGUUUAGGAUGCGAACAGAAACCAUAUAACCUCACUAUGUUUCGAUGGCGGAUAUUCAUCAACACAUCAAUCUCAUUUCUAAAUGCUUUCAAGUUAGCUAUCUCCCCACCAUCUUGUGAUUGAUGGAAUUUCUUGACAGCAACCAUCUGACCUGUUGGCAGCACAGCUUUGUAAACAACUCCAUGUCCUCCAGUCCCAAUGCAAUAGUUGGAGUUGAAA